GACGAACGCUGGCGGCGUGCCUAAUACAUGCAAGUCGAACGCUGAAGGAGGAGCUUGCUUCUCUGGAUGAGUUGCGAACGGGUGAGUAACGCGUAGGUAACCUGCCUGGUAGCGGGGGAUAACUAUUGGAAACGAUAGCUAAUACCGCAUAAUAGUAGAUGUUGCAUGACAUUUGCUUAAAAGGUGCAAUUGCAUCACUACCAGAUGAACCUGCGUUGUAUUAGCUAGUUGGUGGGGUAACGGCUCACCAAGGCGACGAUACAGCGGCGACCUGAGAGGGGGAUUGGCCAAACUGGGACUGGGACACGGCCCAGACUCCUACGGGGGGCAGCAGGAGGGAAACUUCGGGAAUGGGCGGAAGGCUGACCGAGCAACGCCGGGGGAGUGAAGAAGGUUUUCGGAUCGUAAAGCUCCGUUGUAAGGGAAGAACGAGUGUGGGAGUGGAAAGUUCACACUGUGACGGUACCUUACCAGAAAGGGACGGCUAACUACGUG
rnacentral:rRNA from 1 species